rnacentral:rRNA from 1 species
UACGUAGGGCGCAAGCGUGUCCGGAAUUAUUGGGCGUAAAGAGCUCGUAGGCGGUUUGUUGCGUCGGCUGUGAAAUCCCGAGGCUCAACCUCGGGUCUGCAGUCGAUACGAGCAAACUAGAGUGUUGCAGGGGAGACUGGAAUUCCUGGUGUAGCGGUGAAAUGCGCAGAUAUCAGGAGGAACACCGGUGGCGAAGGCGGGUCUCUGGGGAUUUUCUGACGCUGAGGGACGAAAGCCAGGGGAGCGAACGGGG